AAAGAAAUAGUUUAAUAGAAUUUUUAGUUUGAAACUAAAAGGUGGUCAUUGUUUUACGACUUUUCUUUG
rnacentral:tRNA from 1 species